GACAGAGGGUGCAAACGUUGUUCGGAAUUACUGGGCGUAAAGCGUGUGUAGGCGGUCCACUAAGUCGGAUGUGAAAGCCCUGGGCUCAACCCAGGAAGUGCACUCGAAACUGGUGGACUAGAGUAUCGGAGAGGUUGGUGGAAUUCUCGGUGUAGAGGUGAAAUUCGUAGAUAUCGAGAGGAACACCGGUGGCGAAGGCGGCCAACUGGACGAAUACUGACGCUGAGACACGAAAGCGUGGGGAGCGAACGGG
rnacentral:rRNA from 1 species